GGUAAGUCUUUGAUAUCAUAUAUGUGUCUCCUCAGAGAAUUCAAGUAGAGAACUACUGAUAUCAGGCAGUAACUGGAGGAGCCUAGGUAUACUAGCAACUUUCCAAUCAAUAGAAAUCAGAAAUAUAGGGCAGGCGGUGGUGGUGUACAUCUUUUGUUCCAGCACUCAGGGAGGUAGAGGCAGGCUUCAAGGCUAGCCUAGUCUACAGACUUGAGUUCCAGGACAGAGACACCCUGUCUCGAAAAAUUCAGAAGUAGAAAGAAAGAAAUCAGAAAAUGGCAAAUAUCCAAAAACUUUAGGUCAUGCUGUGUGACCUCUAUACUGUCUCACUUGGCCAACUUAAAUGUUUAUGGGAUGUAAGAUGGGACACAUUAACCAGAGUGUCACUUCCCUUUGACUUUAGAUGGUUUAAUUUUCCUGUCCCCACAGUACCUUCCAUCAGCCUAAAACAAAACCAUAAAACAUGCAUUUUUAUCAAGUCUUUUACUCUUUUGUCAAGUCUUUACUCUUUUGUUCUAACAGAUAAUUCCUUCUUCCUUCCUUAAAACAAAGUAAAAGUAAUGGAACCAUGAGGACCCCAGGUUAAAUUCCCAGCAUUCCAUAUGGUGGUUCACAACCUUCUGUAACUCCAGUUCAAGGAUCCAAAACCCUUUAAUAGCACGUGCAUUCUCUCAGUGAUCCAUCAGAACCUAAAGUAACAGCACACUACAAUAAAAACCUUACCUGAAUGAGCUGAUGGGUCCCCUUCAUCUCUUCGUGUCUCACUGCUCGUCACAACUGAGGUGCUGACACUACCAGGCACAACUCCUACAGUCUGGGGCAUGACAACGCCAUGAUCUUCAACUUUAUCAUCGAAACUUCCCAUGAGAGCCUUUCUGAUGAUGUCUUCUAGACCAAGGUUACUGGCAGGAUCAGCAAAAGAAUGGCUUCUUGAGCUAACUGCACCUGAGGAGACAAGGCAGUGUGUACUGCUGCUUGUUUCUGAGGCAGAUUAUGCCAUAGGAAAACGGACAGAGAGAAAGCAUGGUCUCUACAGCCCAGUGAAUUCACAGCACUGAGACCUAGGGAUGACCUGGGAUGAUGCUAAGAAACCUGACAGUGAAGUGCUGCACUCAGUGUCAUCCCUAUCAUUUCUUGGUCUUGCUCACUUUUCAGCAAGUAUUUAGGAAUCUUACCUGAUGUAGUAACUGCUGGCAGAUUGAAGAUCUCAGUUCCCGGUUGUGCAGCUGCUGCAUUCAAACAAAUCUUUAGGUUAAUUGAGACGAGAUAAUCAAGAAAUUCCAGAAUAAAAUUAACCUUUUACUUUUCUA